rnacentral:rRNA from 1 species
UAGGGAAUCUUCCACAAUGGACGCAAGUCUGAUGGAGCAACGCCGCGUGAGUGAAGAAGGUUUUCGGACCGUAAAGCUCUGUUGUUGGUGAAGAAGGAUAGAGGUAGUAACUGGCCUUUAUUUGACGGUAACCAACCAGAAAGUCACGGCUAACUACGUGCCAGCAGCCGCGGUAAUACGUAGGUGGCAAGCGUUGUCCGGAUUUAUUGGGCGUAAAGCGAGCGCAGGCGGAAGAAUAAGUCUGAUGUGAAAGCCCUCGGCUUAACCGAGGAAUUGCAUCGGAAACUGUUUUCUUGAGUGCAGAAGAGGAGAGUAGAACUCCAUGUGUAGCGGUGGAAUGCGUAGAUAUAUGGAAGAAUACCAGUGGCGAAGGCGGCUCUCUGGUCUGCAACUGACGCUGAGGCUCGAAAGCAUGGGUAGCGAACAGGAUUAGAUACCCUGGUAGUCCAUGCCGUAAACGAUGAGUGCUAAGUGUUGGGAGGCUUCCGCCUCUCAGUGCUGCAGCUAACGCAUUAAGCACUCCGCCUGGGGGAGUACGACCGCAAGGUUGAAAC